rnacentral:tRNA from 1 species
CAGAUUAUACCAUAGGGUAAUUAUUAUUUACAUUAAUAAUGUAUUUGUGCAAUUCAAUUUGAUCUGA